rnacentral:siRNA from 1 species
UGGAUAUUCCCAGAUGCAUUAC